rnacentral:lncRNA from 1 species
UUUUAUUCUGAUGUUUACUUAGAAAUGUUAGGACUACAAAAUCUGGCGUGGUUGAAGACACCUCAGAGUAAGCGAGGGAGAUGGAGGCCUCUCGCUUGAAGGAGAUUUGGGGAGGCGCAGACCCUGGUGGCACCAGCAAAUGGAAGCCAACUAAGGCCCUUCAACCACAGCCCUUAAGCUGGAGACUGAAGACAGGAAAACAAUAACGUCACUGAGUAGUCAGGAUUCCCAGGACUGAGGACAGCUAUGAAUAAAACAAUAAAUCCAGAAUACA